rnacentral:rRNA from 1 species
AUACGGAGGGUGCAAGCGUUACUCGGAAUCACUGGGCGUAAAGCGCGCGCAGGCGGCUAUUUAAGUUGGAUGUGAAAGCCUAUGGCUCAACCAUAGAACUGCAUCCAAAACUAUUUAGCUAGAGUGUGGGAGAGGAGGAUGGAAUUAGUUGUGUAGGGGUAAAAUCCGUAGAGAUAACUAGGAAUACCAAAAGCGAAGGCAAUCUUCUGGAACACUACUGACGCUGAGGCGCGAAAGCGUGGGGAGCAAACAGGAUUAGAAACCCUAGUAGUCC